UCUCUCCAGCACUGCUUGUUUCU
rnacentral:miRNA from 1 species